rnacentral:lncRNA from 1 species
UUGCUAUAUAAUGAAAUUAUAUAUAUGGUGGUGUUUAACGACCUUGACUGGCUAUACAGCCCUCGCACGGUCGGCUCGGUGCCCGAAGACGUUUGGUGAGCUUUAACAUGUUUUGAUGCCGUGGGUCAGGAACAAGUAGUGGAGGUCGCAAUAUGUAGGCCGCCAUUUUGGUUUUGGUGAGUAGAUUUUUCUUUGUUUACUAUUUUGAUGUUUAUUUUCACUAACGGCUGCUUUCAGGGCCAGUUUGGUCAGCUUGGCAGCCCGCUAGCCUCGAUGAUGGAGUACAGGUAGAUGAUCUCGGACGUAGUUCGAAAGAUGACAGGAAGCAUUAUCAAGACCAAAGCCGUGAGGCAGUGAAAUGAAGGUCA